rnacentral:rRNA from 1 species
UACGUAGGGACCGAGCGUUGUCCGGAUUCAUUGGGCGUAAAGAGCUCGUAGGCGGUCUGUCGCGUCGGUCGUGAAAACUUUGGGCUCAACCCAAAGCGUGCAUUCGAUACUGUUGUGACUAGAGUUCGGUAGGGGAGUGGGGAAUUCCUAGUGUAGCGGUGAAAUGCGCAGAUAUUAGGAGGAACACCGGUGGCGAAGGCGCCACUCUGGGCCGAAACUGACGCUGAGGAGCGAAAGCGUGGGUAGCAAACAGG